rnacentral:rRNA from 1 species
GAUGAACGCUGGCGGCGUGCCUAAUACAUGCAAGUCGAGCGAACGGACGAGAAGCUUGCUUCUCUGAUGUUAGCGGCGGACGGGUGAGUAACACGUGGAUAACCUACCUAUAAGACUGGGAUAACUUCGGGAAACCGGAGCUAAUACCGGGUAAUAUUUUGAACCGCAUGGUUCAAAAGUGAAGGACGGUCUUGCUGUCACUUAUAGAUGGAUCCGCGCUGCAUUAGCUAGUUGGUAAGGUAACGGCUUACCAAGGCAACGAUGCAUAGCCGACCUGAGAGGGUGAUCGGCCACACUGGAACUGAGACACGGUCCAGACUCCUACGGGAGGCAGCAGUAGGGAAUCUUCCGCAAUGGGCGAAAGCCUGACGGAGCAACGCCGCGUGAGUGAUGAAGGUCUUCGGAUCGUAAAACUCUGUUAUUAGGGAAGAACAUAUGUGUAAGUAACUGUGCACAUCUUGACGGUACCUAAUCAGAAAGCCACGGCUAACUACGUG